CCGGCCCGCCCCUGCCCCCAAGAACCUUGCACCUGCGGCUAUGGUUCAGCAGGAGCCAGACUGCCAAAUUCGCGUCUUGACUUCCCUCAUCCAGGGCGAAGUCUGCCUGUGCGGCCUGGACAGCUACCUCUCUGCUCCAAGGCUCAGCGCCCUCUCUAAUAAAGUUGGAUCAGUGAUUGUACCUAGCUCUCACUGAGUGAGAUGUGCAGCUGAAGCUAGUGCUCAGCUUUAUCCAUAGGCGCCUACUGAGUGGAGUCCACGCUGCAGGCUCAACGGUGCCCCUGACCCUCUGGAGCUUGUUGCCUCUUGCUGCCCAACCAACAGGCGCAGGAAUUCCCUUGGUACCAGGGAUGACAGGACCCAUUCCCUACCAAGCAAAGAAACGAGAGAGGGCAGGCUGGCCCAGUUCCUCUCAAUGACUCAGGUGCCACCAUGAGAAGCGAGUCCCUUUAAGGAACUAACAGUCUCCUGAAAACCCCAGCUGGCUUCUUUGAGAGGUGGUCCAGUGGUUAAGAGUCUGAACUCUCAGUGCAGGGGCAUGGGUUUGAUCCUUGACUGGGGAAGUUCUGUAUGCUGCAGGCCAUGGUCAAAAUAGUUAACUACCAGGUCUAAUAUUUUAAAAAGUUUCUCAAGAAGAAUGAAUGACAUGAAAUACAGCAGAAUAUUAACCCAUAUAAAGAGACUUCCCUGAUGGCUCAACGGGUAAAGAAUCUGCCUGCAGUGCAGGAGACACAGGAAAUAUGAGUUUGAUUCCUGGGUCAGGAAGAACCCUGGAGGAGGAAGUGGCAACCCACUCCAGUAUU